CGGGCAUGGUGGCUCAUGCCUGUAAUCCCAGCACUCAGGAGGCUGAGGCAGGAAGAUCGUUGCAAGUUCGAGACCAGCCUGGGUUACAAAGUGAGCUCUAGGCCAGCCUGAACUGCACAGCGAGACCCUGUCUCAAAAAGAAAAAAAACAAACAUAGCUCAGUGUUCCCUAGGCUCAAUUCCCAUUGCCACAAAUAAAUAACUCAUCAUUUCGGACAUAAUUAUCAAACCUGUAAGGAUGUUCAUUUGAGAUGAACAGAUGAUACAUGUGAACUGAUGUGUGACACUUGCUGUUCCCCAGUCAGUGCAGGGGCAGAGGCAGAACUGCAUCAUGGUGGUGACAAGGACUCAGGAGGUAGACGGCCGUGACGAGACUCAACUCUGGCACUUACAAGCUGUGUCAUCUUGAGUGAGCCUUUGCUUUCACCUUGGACGUCAUCUCCUGGCUUCCAGUGCAGACUCUUCAGCCUCUGACAGAACUGACAAGACGCAGAGUAAUAGGUCAAGAAGCAGUUGAUUGCCUGCAUCUCUUGGGGGACCAGUGUCCACCUGAGAGUGGAGAACAAAGCCCCAUUUUCAGUUUUAUAUUGUCUAUCCUAUGGGCAACUUUUCAUUGGCAGUCAGCUCAAAACAAAGCUACGAAAGCCAAGCAAUGAUUAAAAGGGAAUAAACAGUGAUGGGGGUAGGGACUUUAAACAGCUCUUUCCAAGUCUGCUAUGCUCCACUGACAUUACCUCGCAGCUCAACCUUAUGCCUGGCUGGAGUUGAAACCAUCCGUCUCAGCUACAUCACCCUCCCCAGUGAGCGUGGCUAUGCAUUUAAGCCGUAGCUGUCCAGUUCCACGCCAGGAGGUGGUCUCCUCUGUUGGGCGCAGGCGCUCAACAUACCAUACCCUACCCGGGACUAAGGACCACGCCAGCUUCCGCAAUGCGCUACGUCCCUCUCCAAAUUAGCCACCCCGUGCACACCUCGUGCUCACUUCGUAUUCGCCCCGUGCUGACUCUGUGGCAACCCCUGAUUGACCACAGCUGGGUAUAUUAGCCAGAGCCCGCGUCUCAUUCCAGCCCUGCCUCCUCGUGGCAGCCCUCGUGGCAGCCUGAUUGGCCACAGUCAGAUAUAUAAGCCAGAACCCACAACAAUAAAGCGGCAGUUACCUGUUACCCACAA